ACAAUCUUUUCACUCAGAGUUUGAAGUAGGUCUGGGUGCCAUGCAGAACUGUGUGGUACCCCUAAAUUUCAUGGAACAUCACUCUUUCAAAAAUCUGUGCAAGUCUCUGUCUGAGAGGAAAAGAGGGAACCUCAAGUGCUACUCAACCAUGAUCAUGUAACAACUGGACAUCCCCCGGACACUUUUCUGGCUCACAAGUAUAAAAUCAAGUUAUCAACAGAGCUGUGUUUCUUUGUGAAGUCUUUGGGAAAGAACAUUUCUUUCUCACGUUUUCCAUGUGGCUAAGAAGGGACCUGUAACCAGGAGUUUCCACAUGGAAGAAAAAGAAAAGAGUACCUCCUUGUCACCAACCCAGCUUGGCAAGUUCUAUCUGAGCCAAGACAGUUUUAGCUCAGAACAAAAUAAGCUUUCUGCACCUGCUAGAGCUUAAUUUGUUUGUCAUCUUCUUUAUAAGAAACAAAAGUCCCUUCGGCAUGCUGAUAAUUAAAAACAAAUGGAAUUCACCAGUUGGAAUGGCCCUGAUGUUGGCAUUGGAGUUGGCAUGGCCCUCCUGUUCCUACGCUUGUCCAGACUCUGACCUUUCUCUGACCAGAACGUUCAGCUCAACUCAACUUUGAAGUGUGUCUCUCACCCUCCCCUCAUGGCUUCUCUCCAGCUCUCUCCAAGCUGUGCUCUGUGCUUUUGCUUUUGAUCCCAACAGCUGACAAGCAAGACUUAUGUCUUUUCUCAAGUGCAUCAGAGCUCACAGUACCUCUGACCUUGAGAUUCUUAUUGGCCAAAAAACUCCGUAGAAGCCAAAAAACUCCGUAGAAGCCAAACAGCAGGGAGCAGUUGUCAGAGUUCUUUGCUAUGUCUAUCUGCUCUUCCUUCAAAAAUCAAAAGUUUCAUUGCUAAAACUGUUAAGCUACUGAUCUGUGUAGACUACUACAUUUUCCAAUUGAUGGGGAGCAAAUGAAUUCGACCAAAAUUCUGAAGCUUGUACCUCACAAUUUGAGCAUAAGACUAAUUUGAGCAUCCAAACCAAAAGAAAUCAGAUAAGCAAAUAGGCAUUAGACAUUUUCAUUAUAAAAAUAUGGGAGAGCAUGAAUGGCUCUCUUCAAUAGAAUUUACUGAUUUUUGUUUUAAUUUAUUUCUCUAUUUUUCAGAUCUCCAGUGCAUUGUUGUGGGAGGUGCUAGCAAUUGAUAAAUUUUGAAUAGGUGAACAUUUCAGACAGCUUAAUAAAAUCCAUACAUACUCAUGUUUUAAUUCCUCAGUUUUUAACAACAGAACAUAAAACACAUUCAUUUUUAACAUUUAAAAAUUGUUUUAGCCACCAUUAAACAAAAAAUGACAAAUAUUCUCUAAAUUAGUCUUUCUGUGUGUAAUUUUUUCUGUAACCACUCUGAAGAAUUUUAAUUCUGUACUAAAGCAAAAUAAUCUGCACACUUUUUAAAAGAUAAUGAUAAACAUAAUAGGAAAGGGUUCUUGAAUAGAAAAACUUCAAAAAAAUUGCAUUAUCUAUUAUUUUUAAAGGAAGAAAUUGUUAUUUCACCUUUACCAAAUGCACACAAUUUUAGAGCCUGGUGGGAACAUAAUAGGUCAACUAGCCUGAACUUCUUCGUCCAGGUUAAGAAUUCAGGCCAGAGCAGGGAAAGAAUACAACUAUCUGAUUGCUCCCCAAAACACUGCUGCCUGCUCACCUCCAGACCCUGUGCAAACUAUAAACUUGUUCUUAUGAGCCAAAGUGUACCGAUUAGAUUCUGUAAUCAUGUUAAUCAGCAAUCUACCCUUCAAUUGUGGGCACACUUUUUUUUCUUAAUAAAAUUACUUUUAUUUCUGUAUUAAUGCGAAAGUUUUGGAAAAAUAACCAAAAUAAAAUUGUAUUUAAUACAUACGUUUUAAACCACGUAACAGAAUUUUAAAAAUUCCAAACCAUCCAUCUUAUUCUCAAGUCUGAUUUAAUUGUAUGGGCAAUUACCUGAGGGCUAUAUAGCCAUAGUAAGAACUCCCUCAUAAGUGUACAAUCAAUAGGCAGGUGGUGCUUCAUAGCUUUAUGCAGAAACUUCAAUUCCCAUUUUAUUUUCCAGUUUUAUCUUUCAUAACUGCCAUAAAGUACAAUAUAUAUAAAUUAUUCUUAAUUAUAUAGAAAAUAUGUACUUAUUUUAUAUAUAUAUAUAUGAUUAGAUACAACUGAGUAAAGACAAAAAUAAAAGUUUAUGUAAUAUAGGAUGACUAAAUUAAUUUGAAGACUUUGAGGUCAUUUUUAUACAGAACUUUAGGAUAUUCAGACAAUGUUUUAAUGUCCUUUUCUUUUUGGCUUUUGAGAAUCACUACCAGCUAAAUCCCUUGUCAGCUUAUGAUUCCAAUCCUGCAAUUGUUUCUCAGAAACUUAAGGAGUCCUAAGCCAGUCAAUCAGCAUUACUGUUCUAAAUCACCCUCUGAAAAAACGUUUCUGACUCUGGUCAUGUGAAACUUUUGUAAAUUGAAUUGUGUUCCCCCAAGAAAGAUGAGUUGCAGUCCUAACCUCUAGUACCUCAGAAUAUGACCUUAUGCUUGGUAGCACCGUCUUUAUAGAGGUGAUCAAAUUAAAAUGUCAUUAAGUCACUCCCUAAUCCAAUAUGAGUGAUGUCCUCAUACAAAGUGGAAAUUCACGCACAGAGUCAGACAUGCACAGAGGGAACACAGUAUUUGAAAAGACAGAAACACAAGGAGCACAUCUUUAAAGAUAACAGCAGAAUUUGGGAUGAUUUAUCUAGAAGCCAAAGAUUGCUCACAGACCCAAGGAGCUAGGAGAGAGUCAUGGAACAGAUUCCCCCUCACAGUUCUCAGAAGAAAGGAACCCACUGGAAAAUUUGACCCAAAACUUCAAACUUCUAUAACUGUGGUAUCAAAAUUUUGUAUUAUUUUAAGCCACUCCAUCUUUGGUACUUUGUUAUGACAACUCUAAGAAACUAAUAUUAAUAAUUAGACUUUUAUUGAGAACUUUAAAACAAAUUCCCACCCCUGACCUAGAUUUUAUGUCUUCCAUAGGCUCCAAAGUCUAUGUCUGAACCCCAAAAUAUCCAUUUCUUCCAAGGCCCUACCAAAACACUGCAGUCAGACAUUCCCAAAAACUGAGGAAGCUAGACCUCCAACGGCACCCCUGCUCUAGGACUUCUGUUUGUGAAGGACUCAGCACACAAUGGUACAACUGUAUUGACCUUUACCGGAACUUUCAUGGGACUAGGUUUUAUUGGUCAUUGCAUUCCAUGCUCAGUAUGGUGUUUGGCACAAAGUGAAUAAAUUAAUGUGUAUUGCUAAGAAUUGGCUGUGCCCAGUUUUUCCUUUUAGUCUGCCUGUAAGAACACCUCCCAUUCCUACCAGUACAUCCUUUCUCAGGCGGGCCACCUGCCAGCUGGCAGCAUGCUCUUCUGCUGUGUGAACUGCCUGCCCAUUCCUGAGGUCAGUUCUUCACCAGAACACCUGAUACCCCACGUGGCUGCAGCCGACAACUGUGGUCUGAGUGCCUAGCUGGCUUCCUUUCCACCAGGAGCCUUUCUCUAGUUGUGUUUACUACUGAUUUCUUGUCUUUUCUGGUUUGUUCUGCUCUGUGAGUAAACUAACAUAUUUAAUACAUAAAUAGAAGUUUUAAUAUUAUCUGAAACCAACAGUGAAAUUUGCAAUUUCAAAAGAAAUAAGACAAUGUACAAUAAACAAGCAACUGCAGGGAGGAAAAAACUAGAGCAGAAUUAAAAAUAAAUUACUUUUUUACUCCAUAUAAUUGGA